GAGUUUGAUCUUGGCUCAGGAUGAACGCUGGCGGCGUGCCUAACACAUGCAAGUCGAACGGAGUUUAUGAGGAAGAAGCUUCGGCGGAAUUCUUAUAAACUUAGUGGCGGACGGGUGAGUAACACGUGGAGAACCUGCCUCUUACCGGGGCGAGCAGUUGGAACGAACUGAUAAUACCGCAUAAGCGCACGAGACCGCAUGGUCCUGUGUGAAAGAAUUUAUUCGGUAAGAGAUGGC
rnacentral:rRNA from 1 species